rnacentral:rRNA from 1 species
GAUGAACGCUGGCGGCGUGCCUAAUACAUGCAAGUCGAGCGAACGGACGAGAAGCUUGCUUUUCUGAUGUUAGCGGCGGACGGGUGAGUAACACGUGGAUAACCUACCUAUAAGACUGGGAUAACUUCGGGAAACCGGAGCUAAUACCGGAUAAUAUUUUGAACCGCAUGGUUCAAAAGUGAAAGACGGUCUUGCUGUCACUUAUAGAUGGAUCCGCGCUGCAUUAGCUAGUUGGUAAGGUAACGGCUUACCAAGGCAACGAUGCAUAGCCGACCUGAGAGGGUGAUCGGCCACACUGGAACUGAGACACGGUCCAGACUCCUACGGGAGGCAGCAGUAGGGAAUCUUCCGCAAUGGGCGAAAGUCUGACGGAGCAACGCCGCGUGAGUGAUGAAGGUCUUCGGAUCGUAAAACUCUGUUAUUAGGGAAGAACAUAUGUGUAAGUAACUGUGCACAUCUUGACGGUACCUAAUCAGAAAGCCACGGCUAACUACGUG